AUGGCAUACAAGAAGUUGAGCGACUUAACUACAAGAGGACAUAAUUGGAAUAUUCAAGUGAAAGUAAUGAGAAUGUGGGAUUCAGUGAAUCCUACCACCGAUGAGCUUAUUAGCAUAGAUAUGAUACUGAUGGAUGAGCAGGUAAAGGAAAUAAAAGGAUCUUUGAAAGUUCUCCCAAAUUAUUGCUUCGAGUUUGCUACCAUGGACACACUAGAAGAAAGGGCCGAAAAAGAUACACAAUGCUCAGAUGUCAUUGGACUACUAACUCAAAUGAAUCCAGUGGAGACAAGAAUAACAAAAAGGAACCCACAACCUUCAUAUAUCCGUGAGAUUGAAAUCCUAAUGCCAGAGGGUGAUAAAAUCAGAAUCACGCUGUGGAGAAAGUUUGCUUAUUUUCUGACCGAGGAUGUAAUCGGCAGACAAAUUGUCCUUAUUAUCGCAUCAACAUUGGUGCAGAGAUUCAAUGGUUUGUGCCUAAAGUCAACGAGUGCCACAAUAUAUAUUGAUCUAGAUAUACCGGAAACACAAGAACUUCUUGAUAGGGACUCAACAGAAAAAACCUUACCAAGGAUGAUCAGUAUAGAUAAAAUAAAAAGGACAUUUAUGCCCGAUGAUAGGCUUGAGAUGCUCUAUUUGGACAAUAAAGCCGAGGAGGAAUUGAUGGAUGAUGAGGUGGACAUCGUGUUAAUGAAGAAGCAAAACAUGCCAGAUACAAAGGUGCCUGUGAAAGAGGAGCCACAUGACAGCACUAGGACUACAUUUAACAAAGAUAAGCGUCAAGACAAAAUAUCAUCGUCAUCACGUGAGCUCCGCAGUGGCACUAAAAGGAGACUGUGA
rnacentral:rRNA from 1 species